CACUAAAUAAUUCAGUAAAAAUUAAUUAUUUAUCACUAUGUGGUUAUAUUGGUGUGAGUGCUGUUUGUUUUUAACAAAUAUUGAUUGGUUAAGUGUUAAAUAGCUCUGAGUAAUCAUCAUGGUAACGGUUAGCAUCAAAACAUCACGUGAAUGCAGCCUGUUUUCAUCUAAUUGCAGGUCUGCCUUCAUCUGAAUCACUGUGGCUGUGCUGAAGAAGAAAGGGAGAUGGAUGGAUGUUAUAGAUAGAUGAAGGUGAAUCAGUGGAUGCAUCACUAUGGAGGUUUGGUGAUUUGAACGAAAGCUAAAAAAAAAGAUGUGGUCAGUGAAAACACAAGAUGCACAUUCCAUCUCACUGUCCGUCUGUCUUACUCAUGGGAUUGAAGGAUGCAUGUGAACAUGACUCACACACUGUUGGCAAUGAAGGGAACAUGAUCUUAUUAGUCAUGAUUAUAGCAACGGUUCUUGCAGCACAGGCGCACCCACAUUGUCUUAACCUCUGCAAAUCCACUUCCUGACUUUGUGAUUAAAAUUUCAAUAGCUGUUAAUGUCCGUUGAACUCUUUUUCAGACCUCCAACGAAUGUCAAGCUUUCCAACAUAGUCAUCAUAUAGAUUACUAAUACAGAUCAAU